rnacentral:rRNA from 1 species
UAGGGAAUCUUCCACAAUGGGCGAAAGCCUGAUGGAGCAACGCCGCGUGAGUGAGGAAGGCUUUCGGGUCGUAAAGCUCUGUUGCCAGGGAAGAAUAAGGAUCAUUUAACUGAUGAUCCGAUGACGGUACCUGAGAAGAAAGCCCCGGCUAACUACGUGCCAGCAGCCGCGGUAAUACGUAGGGGGCAAGCGUUGUCCGGAAUUAUUGGGCGUAAAGCGCGCGCAGGCGGCUCUUUAAGUCUGGUGUUUAAGUGCGGGGCUCAACCCCGUGACGCACUGGAAACUGGGGAGCUUGAGUGCAGAAGAGGAGAGCGGAAUUCCACGUGUAGCGGUGAAAUGCGUAGAGAUGUGGAGGAACACCAGUGGCGAAGGCGGCUCUCUGGACUGUAACUGACGCUGAGGCGCGAAAGCGUGGGGAGCAAACAGGAUUAGAUACCCUGGUAGUCCACGCCGUAAACGAUGAGUGCUAGGUGUUGGGGGUAUCAUGCCCUCGGUGCCGAAGUUAACACAUUAAGCACUCCGCCUGGGGAGUACGGUCGCAAGACUGAAACUCAAAGGAAUUGACGGGGUCAU